GGGGAUGAUUGGGAUUCGACUUGCUUCACGGAGCAAGGACUGCGGUUCAACUCCGCACAUCUCCACCA
rnacentral:sRNA from 1 species